UUUUUUUUUAAAGCAAUUUAUUGGGUUUUACAAUAAGAAUAAACAUAAUAAACAAUAUAACAUUUGUCUUAACAUAGUUUCACAUUUUCUUUGGACUUCCUCACAUCCCCCGCUCCCACUUUCAUCGUUAUAACAUUUUGUCAGCAAUUUAUCAUCUUAUUUAAAUUCUUAUAUCUCUUCAAUGUUUCAUAAUCUUAUAGUUCUCAUAAAGAGUUAAACUUUCACAGUCUUACUUGUUUUCUUAAAAACUUCUAAGUUAAGUGGUGCUCAGUUAUUUAGUCUAGCAUCUUAUUUAGCAUUCACUCAAAUCACAAUAUUUUUGUAGAUAGUUCUUAAAUUUCUUCCAAUCCUCCUCGAUUCUCUCUUCUCCCAGGUCACGGAUUCUGCCGGUCAUUUCAGCCAGUUCCAUGUAGUCUAUCAGUUGCAUCUGCCAUUCUUCCAGUGUGGGUAAAUCUUGAGUUUUCCAAUGUUUUGCAAGAAGUAUCCUUGCUGCUGUUGUUGCAUACAUAAAAAUGUCUGGUCCUUCUUUGCCACCCCUUGGCUGACAAUACCCAGAAGGAAAGCCUCUGGUUUCUUGGUAAAGGUAUAUUUAAAUACCUUUUUCAAUUCAUUAUAAAUCAUUUCCCAGAACGCCUUCACUUUAGGGCAGGUCCACCAGAGGUGGAAGAACGUUCCCUCACACUCUUUACAUUUCCAACACUUAUUAUCAGACAGGUGGUAAAUUUUUGCAAGUUUAACUGGGGUCAUAUACCAUCUAUAAAUCAUUUUCAUUACAUUUUCUUUCAGAGCGUUACAUGCAGUAAAUUUCAAUCCAUUACUCCACAACUUUUCCCAGUCCUCAAACAUAAUAUUAUACCCAAUGUCCUGUGCCCACCUUAUCAUAGCCGAUUUAACCAUUUCAUCUUGUGUAUUCCAUUCCAACAGCAAGUUAUACAUCCUUGAAAGUACCUUAGUCUUUGGUUCUAACAAUUCUGUUUCUAAUUUCGAUUUCUCCACCUGGAACCCUAGUUUCUUAUCAUUUUUAAAAACUUCUUUAAUCUGAGCGUAAUGUAACCAAUCUCGCACUUUGUCUUUCAUUUUCUCCAAACUCUGCAAUUUCCAAUUGUCUCCAUCCUUUUCUAGUAUUUCCCAAUAUUUUGGCCAUUUAGCCUCCAUAUUGGGUCUUUUUCGGGCCUUAGCUUCCAAAGGUGAAAGCCACCUUGGUGUUUUAUUUUCCAGCAAGUCUUUAUAUUUUGUCCAGACAUUAUACAAUGAUUUUCUGACAAUAUGGUUCUUGAAGGCCUUAUUUGCUUUAACUUUGUCAUACCAUAAAUAUGCAUGCCAUCCAAAAACAUUAUUAAACCCUUCCAAAUCCAACACAUCAGUGUCUUCAAGAAGUAGCCAGUCUUUUAGCCAGCAGAACGCUGCGGCUUCAUAAUACAACUUUAAGUCCGGCAGGGCAAAGCCCCCUCUUUGUUUUGCAUCAGUUAAUAUCUUAAACUUUUUGCCCUGCCAGACAAACUUCGAAAUAUCUCUCUGCCACUUCUGAAAGCACUCCGUUUUGUCCAAAACCUGAAGUGUUUGAAAUAAAAACAACAUCCUUGGCAAUACAUUCAUCUUAAUAGCAGCAAUUCGGCCUAACAAAGAAAGUUUCAAUUUUGACCAACUGUCUAAGUCUCUCUUAAUUUCUGCCCAACAUUUUUCAUAGUUAUCCUUAAAUAGACUUAGAUUUUUUGCUGUUAUGUUUACCCCUAGGUAUUUUACUUUUUAACCACAUUAAGUUCCGUCUCAUUCUGAAACCGUUCUGACUCUGUAUCAGUCAAAUUUUUCCCCAAAACCUUAGUUUUCUGUUUAUUUAAUUUAAAUCCCGCCACCCGACCAAAAUCAUUAAUCAAUUGUAAUACUCUUUUCGUACUGGGCUCUGGCUUCUGCAGGGUCAAAACCAGGUCAUCUGCAAAAGCUUUUAGUUUAUAUUGUUUCUGACCAACCUGAAUUCCUUCCACCAACCGAUCCCCUCUAAUCAUGUUCAGUAGCACUUCCAGAACCGAAAUAAAUAACAAAGGGAAAGAGGGCAACCUUGUCGUGUCCCUUUUUCAAUUUUGAACUCUUCUGUGACCACAUUAUUAACUAUCAGUUUAGCUUUCUGUUCUGAAUAUAUCGCCUCAAUCCCAUUCUCAAAACCCCGUCCCACUCCCAUCUCUUUUAAAUUUCCCAUCAUAAAUUUCCAAGAAAUAUUGUCAAAGGCCUUCUCCGCAUCUAUGAAAAUUAAAACUGCUUUUGUAUUUAUAUCUGUUUGCAGAAGUUCCAAAAUGUCAAUAAUGUUCCUUGUGUUAGCAAACAGAUGUCUACCUGGGAGAAAACCGGCCUGGUCCUUAUGAAUUACUUCAUUUAAUACUUUUUUUAAAUCUGCUUGCCAAAAUAUCUGCAAAUAUUUUGUAAUCCACAUUUUAAAGAGAGAUGGGACGGUAGUUCUUCAGUUGUGUCUUUUCAGCUUCUGACUUUGGUAUUAAUGUGAUGAACGCUUCCUUCCACGAAUCCGGUGCCCUCUUCCCCUCCAUAAUUUCAUUGCUGACCUCCAUCAAGGGUUGUAUCAAAUAGUCUUUUAAUGUCUUAUAAUACUUGGAGGUCAGCCCAUCUGGCCCUGGAGAUUUGCCAAGUUGCAUGUUCUGAAUAGCUUGUUCAAUCUCCUGUCGUGUUAUUUUAGAGUUCAGGAUUGUCCUGUUUUCUUGUGACAAUUUAGAUAGUCCAUUUUUGCCAAAAAUUGUUUAAUCUCAACUUCGUCUUGCGGCCCUUGGGUGUAUAAUUUUUAAAAUAUCUCUGGAAACACUUUCUAAUAUCCACUGGAUUCUGAAUGUUUUUUCCAUCAACCUCUAAGUUUGUAACCGUGUUUAAUCUUUGUCUUCUCUUCAACUGCCAAGCUAGCAGUUUUCCACAUUUAUUCGCCGACUCAAACGUUUUUGUUUCAUUAAUUUAACCUUCCAUUCAAUUUCCUGAUUUAUCAAUUUAGAAUAUUGUGUUUGAUAGAGUUUAAUUUCUCUCAGAGUUGGCUGUGACUUUGGAUUCGCUCUUAAUUUCUUCUCUAAUUCUUUAAUUUGUCCAAGAUCUUAUCUUUUUCUCAUUUUGUGUUCUUUUCUUUACUACAUUCUGUUGUAUCAAGAAUCCCCUCAUUACAGCUUUGCUUGCGUCCCAGACAAUUCUUUUUCCACCGAAUUGUUCAUGUUUAUCUCAAAAUAGUCCUUCAAAACUUUUUGGGCCUUCUUGGUAAUUUCCUGAUCUCUAAACAAAUUGUCGUUCAUCUUCCAUCUAAAGGAUCCAGUUGGUAGUAGUGUCAUAUCCAUCUUUACUGCAUUAUGGUCAGAGCAGGUCUUUGGGCAGAUUUCCACUUUUCUGACCUUAGGUGCCAGGCCUCUGGAAAUCCAUAUUUGGUCGAUUCUUGUCCAGGUCAGUUGGGCUUCAGAAAAGAAUGUUCCUUCUCUACCUAGUGGGUUCUUUGUCCUCCAAAUGUCAAUCAAAUCCAUAUUGUCAGUCAUUUCAAAAAAGUUUUAGGUAGUCUGCCGUCUUUUGUAACAUUUUGACUUUGUGACUUGUCCAUGUUAGUUGACACGACCCCGUUCAUGUCUCCCAUCAUUAUGAUGUUGUUGUAAUCCAGAUAUUCCAGCAUUGUCCCCUGCAGCUUCUUGUAAAAUUCCGAUUUCCCUUCGUUAGGUGCAUAGAUUCCUAAUAUCAACAGUUUCUCUCCUUGAUAUUGUAUCUCAAUGGCCAAAAUUCUUCCAUGUUCAUCUUUAAAUAAGAAUUUAGGUGACAGGCUCUCUUUUGCAUAUAUCACCACGCCUCUCUUCUUAACUUUGUCCGACGAAACAAAUUCCUGGCCCAAUCUUUUAUUUAUUAACACUUUUCUGUGGAGCCUCGUCACAUGUGUUUCUUGUAAACAGAUAAUGUCCAAUUGUUCUUUUUUUAAUAUAUGAAAUAUUUUCUUCCUUUUUCCGGAAUGUUACAACCAUUAAUGUUCCAACUCAGCAAUUGCAGAGACAUCCUGGAUCUAUCUGGUUAUUUCUCCAGGGGUGGUGUCUUCUCUGGAUCUUCAGGUUCCCCAGGUGCUGGUGUUAAUGCUGGCUUUGCCCCAGGCCCAGAAGGUAAUUCAAUUCCUUUUUGAAGGUCCUCUCCGUAUGUAGCCAAAAAUUUGUCUCUCUCUUCCAAUGUUCUAACUUUGACCUUUCUCCCUUUAAAGGUAAAAGAUAUUCCUUGGGGAAAUUCCCACCUGAAUGGAAUUGCGUUGCUCCUUAGUAGUUUAGCAAGUUCAGAAUAGGCGGCUCUAAGAUCCAGCAGUUGUCUUGGAAUAUCUUUAUAAAUUUCAAUUCUUCUGUCCAAAACCUCCAGUGACUUUCCGUAAUGUAGGCCCAAAAUCUUAUCCCUUUCCUCCUUUGAUCUCAAUGUAAUCAAACAGUCUCUGGGCCUCUCCUUCUUUGUGAAUCUUCCAAGUCUGAAAGCCGACACAAUUUUAAAAUCCUUUUCUUCCAAAUUCCAGAACUUGGAAAAUUCUUUGGUCAAAAACUCAGUUAAAUUUCCUUCUUCUGCCUCUUGUAAUGAUCUAAUCCUCAAAUUAUUCUCACGAUUUCGCAGUUCUAUCAUGGAAAGAUAAGUCUGAUGUUCCCCAACUUGUUUGGUGAGUGGUCUUACCUCUUGCUCUAAAUUUUCCAAUUUUUGUCUAGUAUCCUCAGCCAAUUUCCGAUUUUCUGCUGAGGCCUCCGUUAACUGUCCAAUUGCUUGUGUAUUCUGUACAACUUGUAUGGUUAAUUUAUUUAGACAUUCUGUAUUUUUGUCAAUCUUUGCUGAUUGCGCAUCUACUUUCUUGUCCAAAGCUUCCAAUUUUUCAAAGAUUUUGUCUAGAACAGAAACAGAUACUCCUGAGGCCAUAUCUUCCAAUUGUAACUGCUCUGCUUCACCCUCUCCCUCUUUUGCCUGUGGCAAGGCAACUUCUUCAAGUUCUACUUCUGAGGGCAAAGUAGGUACAGAUGAUCUACGUGUCUGCGAGGCUGAGGUUAGAGUUGUUAAAGUUGUUUGUCUAACUCUCCCUCUUUUCCUUGUGCCACUCAUUCCAACGUUGUCUAUCAGUCAAGGUCACACUGAGUUUUUCCCAUGGGAAUAGAAAGGCCCAGAGCAAGCAAACAACAAGGGAAUCGAAAGUAAAUGUAAAUGUAAAGUCACUGUUUUCAUCCAAUCCUCUAGAGGGAGCUUAAAAUGUCUUUCAGAGUCUAAUUUAAUGUCCAAGAACCUUCAAAUAUAAAUAUUUAGCAGAGUUUAUAAGUAGUCACUUUGUUACAGACAGUGCUUAUUUAUCUCCAAAAAGAAUGUUUCAAAUUUAAAAAGUCUCAAUACCCUCAGAUUGUUGCAAGUUCCAAUAUACAGUAUCCAAAUCUGCAAUACUGACAGCUCAAUUUCUCAAUGCUCAGGCAGCUCCUGACUCUGGGUUUCACCUUCUAAUUUGUAAUCCAAUAAAAGGGGAAAGUCAAGUGCAAGUUAAAAUUCCAAGUCUUUAGCUUAAAGUCUUUACUUUAAAUUGCAAGUUCAGUAGAUGCUUAGAUCUGUAAAGUUUAAAAUCUCUUCCUUUCAGCCUCCACUCCUCCAACUUAGUUGCUUUUUCCAAGUUCAAUGGCUGCGGAAGACGGACUUCCUGUUUCCACGUCUCUCCGCUUUCAGCCAAGUUCAAGCCAAUUUAAGGUUUUUCAUUUAAAGUCUCUGAUUUCAAGUGAUUCAGUCUUUACUCACGAGUAAGUUGCUUUUCGUCCGAAUCCGUAUUUUAGCAGGAAAAAGGAUCAGCGCUCACCGGCAGCAGCAGCGCGGCUUCACUCCGCAGACUGUGAAGCAGCUCUCAGCGCCGCAACCCCCCUCCACGCUCCGGAGCCCCUUACGAGGUUCCUUCUGCGUUUGGAGGGUCACUUAAGGCGCCCACCGAGCCUCAAGACCCCAAGCUCUUGCUGCCUGGGGUUUUCCGGAGUGGGUCUCCGCUUCGCCGUAGCGGACGACCCGUUUUCUGCGGAGCCUCCUCUCCCGUUCAGAAGAGGACCGCCAUUGCCGUUCGCGCCGCCCCUCGGAAGUC